GAUGUCCUUGUCUUCGGGGAGCAUAGUAUUCAAUGAACGUAUAGUGAGGGUACUGAUGCUGAAACCCAUUACAAUAAUUAUUAUCGCAUCCGUGUAUUUAUAUUAAAAUACAUGUGUUGCAAUUUUUGAAAGG